rnacentral:rRNA from 1 species
GAUCAGUAGGGGUUCUGAGAGGAAGGUCCCCCACAUUGGAACUGAGACACGGUCCAUACUCCUACGGGAGGCAGCAGUGAGGAAUAUUGGUCAAUGGACGAGAGUCUGAACCAGCCAAGUAGCGUGCAGGAUGACGGCCCUAUGGGUUGUAAACUGCUUUUAUAAGGGAAUAAAGUGAGUCUCGUGAGACUUUUUGCAUGUACCUUAUGAAUAAGGACCGGCUAAUUCCGUGCCAGCAGCCGCGGUAAUACGGAAGGUCCGGGCGUUAUCCGGAUUUAUUGGGUUUAAAGGGAGCGUAGGCCGGAGAUUAAGCGUGUUGUGAAAUGUAGAUGCUCAACAUCUGCACUGCAGCGCGAACUGGUUUCCUUGAGUACGCACAAAGCGGGCGGAAUUCGUGGUGUAGCGGUGAAAUGCUUAGAUAUCACGAAGAACUCCGAUUGCGAAGGCAGCUCACUGGAGCGCAACUGACGCUGAAGCUCGAAAGUGCGGGUAUCGAACAGGAUUCGAUAC